rnacentral:rRNA from 1 species
CGCGCGCGGCGCGCAUUCGCCGGCCAGCAUGCGCAGCAGCGUCGAUUUCCCGCAGCCGUUCGGCCCCGUGAGCGCGAUGCGCGCGGGCCCGUGCGCGGACCACGUGACGGUGGCCGCGCGCGCGUGCGCGGGCAGCCACGGCAGCCGCGCGGCGUCGAGCGUGAAGAGCCGGCGGCGCGCGGCGAUCUCGGUGCCCGGCAGCGACACGAGCACCGGCGCAUCCGGCUCGAUGCGCGCCGCCGCCGCCUGUACCGCGUCGCCCAACGCGGUCUUCGUGUCGCGAUGAUCGCGCCGCACGCGGCCCAUGAUCUCGCGCGCGCUGUUCUUCAGCGACACGCGCUUGCCGCUCGGCAGGUUGGCCGUCUCCGCAUAGCGGCGCGUGGCGGCCGCAUGCCGCUGGAUCGUGUCGUGCUCGCGCGCGAGCCGGCGGCGCUCGCGCUCGCGCUCGGCGUGCGCGUGAUCGAGCGCGGCCUGCGCCGCCUGGGCCUCGGCGUCGCGCUGCGCACGAUACGCGGCGUAGUUGCCGCCGUACACGCGCGCGCCGCGCGGCGUCAGCUCCACGAUUCGCUCGACGUCGGCGAGCAGCGCGCGAUCGUGGCUCACGACGACGAGGCCGCCGCGCCAGCCGGCGAGCGCCGCGCGCAGCCAUUCGCGGCCGGGCGCGUCGAGAUGGUUCGUCGGCUCGUCGGCGACGAGCAGGUCCGCGCCCGAGAGCAGCGCGCCGAUCAUCGCGACGCGCGCGAGCUGGCCGCCGCUCAGCGCGUGCGCGGGCGUGCGCGCGUCGAGCGGCGGCAGUCCGGCUUCGUCGAGCGCCGCCUGCCAGCGCUCGGCGAGGUCCCAGCGUCCGUCGAGCAAGUCGAAGUCGUCCGCGCGCGCAUCGCCGCGCGCGACGCGCUCGAGCGCGGCGAGCGGCGCGUCGAGGCGCGCGACGGCGGCGGCCGUGCAUCGCGAAUCGUGCAUCGCGUCGGCGUCGUGCUGCGCGACGAACGCGAUCGACGCGUGCCGCUCGAUCGCGCCCGCCGUCGGUGCGAGCCGACCGGCGAUCAGGCGCGCGAGCACGCUCUUGCCGGCGCCGUUGCGGCCGACGAUCGCGCUCGGCGCGCGAUCGAACGUGAGGUCGAGCGAAUCGAACAGCGUGACGCCGUCGUCGAAGCGAAAGGAAACGUGAUGAAGCGCGACGAGCGCGCCGGCGGGAGCGGUCCGGGCCAUGAGCACCUCCGGAAAUGGAUUGCGACAUUCGCGCGGCGCGUACGGCGUGCAUGACGGGCACGAAACGCAAUGCGCAGCGGCGAAACCAUUCGGGGG